GCAGUUGUAGCUCAAGUUAGAGCAUUGGUCUUGUAAGCCAGAGGUUAGAUUUUUAAAUUUCUACUGCU
rnacentral:tRNA from 1 species